rnacentral:rRNA from 1 species
GGGCCUGCACAAGCGGUGGAGCAUGUGGUUUAAUUCGAUGAUACGCGAGGAACCUUACCAGGGCUUAAAUGUAGUCUGACAGCUUUAGAGAUAGAGUUUUCUUCGGACAGAUUACAAGGUGCUGCAUGGUUGUCGUCAGCUCGUGCCGUGAGGUGUCAGGUUAAGUCCUAUAACGAGCGCAACCCUCUGUCGUUAGUUGCCAGCAUGUAAAGAUGGGGACGUCUAACGAGACUGCCGGUGCAAACCGCGAGGAAGGUGGGAUGACGUCAAAUCAUCACGGCCCUUACGUCCUGGCCACACACGUGCUACAAUGGCCGGUACAGAGAGCAGCCACGUCGCAAGGCGGAGCGAA